AACGAACGCUGGCGGCAGGCUUAACACAUGCAAGUCGAACGCAUCCUUCGGGGUGAGUGGCAGACGGGUGAGUAGCGCGUGGGAACGUGCCCUUCAGUUCGGGAUAACCCAGGGAAACUUGGGCUAAUACCGGAUACGUGCGAGAGCAGAAAGAUUUAUCGCUGAAGGAUCGGCCCGCGUCUGAUUAGCUAGUUGGUGGGGUAAUGGCCCACCAAGGCGACGAUCAGUAGCUGGUCUGAGAGGAUGAUCAGCCACAUUGGGACUGAGACACGGCCACAACUCCUGCGGGAGGCAGCAGUGGGGAAUAUUGGACAAUGGGCGCAAGCCUGAUCCAGCCAUGCCGCGUGAGUGAUGAAGGCCUUAGGGUUGUAAAGCUCUUUCGUCCGGGACGAUAAUGACGGUACCGGAAGAAGAAGCCCCGGCUAACUUCGUGCCAGCCGCCGCCGUAA
rnacentral:rRNA from 1 species